rnacentral:SRP_RNA from 1 species
CGUUAGGCCUUAGGGCAAGGGCGUCCUUACGAACCGUGUCAGGCCUGGAAGGGAGCAGCACUAAGUUUGCGAUUUCUUGUGCCCUAAGUUUGAAUGAAA